rnacentral:rRNA from 1 species
UGGGGAAUAUUGCACAAUGGGCGAAAGCCUGAUGCAGCAACGCCGCGUGAGUGAUGAAGGUCUUCGGAUUGUAAAGCUCUGUCUUUUGGGACGAUAAUGACGGUACCAAAGGAGGAAGCCACGGCUAACUACGUGCCAGCAGCCGCGGUAAUACGUAGGUGGCGAGCGUUGUCCGGAUUUACUGGGCGUAAAGGGUGCGUAGGCGGAUGUUUAAGUGAGAUGUGAAAUACCCGGGCUUAACUUGGGUGCUGCAUUUCAAACUGGAUAUCUAGAGUGCAGGAGAGGAGAAUGGAAUUCCUAGUGUAGCGGUGAAGUGCGUAGAGAUUAGGAAGAACACCAGUGGCGAAGGCGAUUCUCUGGACUGUAACUGACGCUGAGGCACGAAAGCGUGGGUAGCAAACAGGAUUAGAUACCCUGGUAGUCCACGCCGUAAACGAUGAGUACUAGGUGUAGGAGGUAUCGACCCCUUCUGUGCCGCAGUAAACACAUUAAGUACUCCGCCUGGGAAGUACGAUCGCAAGAUUAAAACUCUAAGUGAAUUGACGGGGUC